AAUUUAUUUACAUAAAGCACUUUUUUCUCUAACAUUACUGAAAAUACAGAAAUGCCUGUGAAGCAUAAGUUUGUGUGCUGCUCAACCAAUUUUUGAGAAAGAAUCUUUGCUCUGUGAGUGGCUCACCCAUGAAGAUUUUUUCCCAUGUAAUUUAAAGGAAAAAAAGCUCAGUGGUUGGAGGUAGAGAAUUUAGACAUCAAAUAGCCCUGGGUUUAAUUCCUGGCUUUCAAUAUCUACUGGCUAUGUGACCUUGGGAAACUUUAAACUUCUUUGUGCCACCAUGUUUUUGGUCCUGUGGGAGUCAUCGCCUUGCUGAGACUGGCUGAGAAGGGGAGAGGAAGGUACUGCAUUUUCAUGAAAAAAAGUAGACUUCCAAAAAGCCUUGAAAUCAGCUAAUGAGUCUCGUCCCACUCCCUGGUAAUUGUCCUUGAAACCAGAGGCACAAAGAAGCUCUUUCCUGCCCUUGUAAGUCUCAGUGAAUUGGAUCUGCUGGACGAGGACAAGGCUAAGCUGUACACAGACACAGAUUUCCUGGGCAGUGACUAAACUCACCUGAAUUUGGGCUCUUGUGAGACAGAGCAACAACUUCCCAGGAAACCAAGGUCAUCUUUAGGAUGGACCUUUGUCUUAUUCAUUGCUGAAUACCCAGAAUCUGAAAAGAAUGGCAAUGUGCUCUUUCUUACCAACUUGCCUGUGUUAUUCUGCUGAAUUGUAUCACUGCACUGUUGGUGGGAAUGUAAGCUGGUACAACCCCUAUGGAGAACAGUAUGGAGGUUCCAUGAGGUGUGCAGCUAUGUUGCAAGGAAUCAUAAACCCAACUCAGUUUGUCUACAGGAACCAUCUAAAUGCGAUAAGAGAUAAUUCCUCAGCAUUGCCACUCAGAGUGUCUCCUGCCACUGCUUUGGGAAUUAUUACCAUGAAAAACAGAAUCAGGAUGCUCCCCACCAACUUCAUAACAAAAGGGUAUUCGAGGAUCCGAAACAAUGUGGUCUAAGAAAAUUUUGUAAAAAUAGAAGACUAAGAGUAAAAGCAGCAUCCUCCAUAAAAUGUGAACUGCUACUACAAAUGUUACUGAAUUGGAUGACAUACCUUUUGGGAAAUAAGUGACUACAGAAAUGCGUCAAUUUGUAUAACUUCUAUUUUUUUUUUUUUCAGACAAAUCAGACCAUGCAAAAUUAUUCUUGGAGGUGGGGAGAGUGGCAGAGAGGAUGGUCUGCCAAGUUGUUGAGGGCACUUGUGGCCAAGGAUAAUGAGGUUGGUACUGGGAGCACCUCCCCAGCCACCGUACCCAAAUCUGAGGAUGCUCAACUCCCUUAUGUAAAAUGGCAUAUGUAAACCAAAUGACCCUCCACAUCUGUGGGUUCCACCUCAGUGGGAAAGGAGUGCAACUGUAUAUAUCAACAAUUUUGAAUGAUAUUUGGAGAAAACUAGUAAGACUGAAGAUACAUAUGUACUAUGCCUCAAUCAUUUCAUAUGUUUUAAAAAAACUUUUUGUACAUUUCUGCAAGGACUCAUAUAUGAGCAUGUUUAUUGAAGAAAUUUUUGGUGAAGAAAAGAGGUAAUAUUAUCUGUCCAAAAAAAGAGAAAACUGAUUAAAUGAUGGCUUAUUUAUAUGAUAAAAUUAGUACAUAUGUACUCUUGAAAAUAAAUAAGCAUCUCAUA